rnacentral:rRNA from 1 species
CAGCAGCCGCGGUAAUACAGAGGGUGCAAGCGUUAAUCGGAAUUACUGGGCGUAAAGCGCGCGUAGGUGGUUUGUUAAGUUGGAUGUGAAAUCCCCGGGCUCAACCUGGGAAUUGCAGUGGAUACUGGGCGACUAGAGUAAGGUAGAGGAUAGUGGAAUUUCCGGUGUAGCAGUGAAAUGCGUAGAGAUCGGAAGGAACAUCUGUGGCGAAGGCGACUAUCUGGGCCAUUACUGACACUGAGGCACGAAAGCGUGGGGAGCAAACAGGAUUAGAUACCCCUGUAGUCCCUGUCUCUUAUAC